rnacentral:lncRNA from 1 species
AUGGAGGUUUGCCGAAGCCAUCCUAGCGGGUCAAUCCGAGAGCUGCGUUCCCAUUGGCUGCGCCAUGCUCCGCCUCGGCCGGCCUGCCGCUACCAUUGGCUCUGCGGAGUAUCAGGCUGGCUCUCAUUGGCUACCGAGGUGUCGCUCCCGCUCUCUCUGCUCCGGGGCCCGGGGAACUAUUUUCCAUUCGGCGGAGGGGGGUCGGGGAGGGGGUUUCGGCGGUGGCACCGUGCUCGCCGAGCGGCAGGCGGCGGAGGAUGCUGCGGCCGUUGGGGCCGCCGGGACGGCGCUGAGGCGUCGCUGUCCGCGCUGCGGCGUCAGCGUAAUCAUGUCCACAACUCAGAGAAGGAAUCUAGCAAGUUCAUGCUGAGGUAUAUUCGCAAGUCAAGAUACAGUGGCUCAUGUUUUUCUGGGUAAGAAAGAUAUCUGUGUGCUCUUAACUAUGACAAAAAGUAGUUAAACUUUAAAACUUAACUUUCAGAAAGUAUUUUGUCAAGCUGAUAUGGUGGUAAUUUUGUGAGUGGUUUGUUUUUGUUUGUUUUUAGUUGGGUUUUGGAGGCUUUUGGGCAAGCCUAGAGGAUUUCCAACCCACUUAACAGCCUAAACAUAUUUUGGAGUAAUAGUACAAAGGAAGAGGAAUAGCAAGCAACUUUCAAAUAAAAUACAUUACUGAACAGUGCA